rnacentral:rRNA from 1 species
AUUGAACGCUGGCGGCAGGCCUAACACAUGCAAGUCGAGCGAGCGGCGGACGGGUGAGUAAUGUAUGGGGACUGCCCGUUAGUGUGGGAUAACUACUGGAAACGGUAGCUAAUAACCCAUACUAUCGGAUAACCCAUAGGGGAUUAUCUAGUAGGUGAGGUAAUGGCUCACCUGGGCGACGAUCCAUAGCUGGUCUGAGAGGAUGAUCAGCCAAAUGGGGACUGAGACACGGCCCAGACUCCUACGGAGGCGGCCGUGGGGAAUAUUGAACGAUUGGAGGAAGCCUGUUGCAGCCAUGCGGCGUGUAUGAAGAAGGCCCUAGGGUUUUAAAGUUCUUUCAGUCGGGAGGCGUUACCGGCAGAAGAAGCACCGGCUAACUCCGUGCCAGCAGCCGCGGUAAUUC